rnacentral:misc_RNA from 1 species
GAAAUGCGAUAAGUAGUGUGAAUUGCAGAAUUCAGUGAAUCAUCGAAUCUUUGAACGCACAUUGCGCCCCUUGGUAUUCCAUGGGGCAUGCCUGUUCGAGCGUCAUUUGUACCCUCAAGCUCUGCUUGGUGUUGGGUGUUUGUCCCCGUCUCCGCGCGUGGACUCGCCCCAAAGUGAUUGGCAGCCGGCGUACUGGUCCCGGAGCGCAGCACAUGUCGCGCAAACGAGUGCCUUGGUACGGCGGCGUCCAUACGCCCCUCUCUCACGCUCUUGACCUCGGAUCAGGUAGGGAUACCCGCUGAACUUAAGC